UAAAAGGGAAUUUGAUGUUUUCUUUAGGGUUUCAGAAACCCUCGCGCCGCCUCAUGAUUUUCUCUUUCUUCUAUCCAUCUUUCGCCAUUUUUGGCAAGAAUACAGAGGAGCAGGCUACCCUUUACGUUAUUGUAUCACAUUUUGGGAGAGCAUUAAUGGUGUUCGCUAUUUCUGAGCUUUUUCUUUAUAAAAAACAAAGGCCUAGCUCAAUCCAUACUAAGGCAUGUUUGGAGUAAUCAUGAAUGAGCAAGGGAAGCAAAUAUUGUUUGAAGGCCCAGUUAUGGGUGAAAAUAGCCUAGUGGGUAUUCGGGUAGCCCACUAGUGAAGAGAUUUACUUUUUAUGUAUAUGUCAUUGUAUGUAUUGUAACAUAAACUCAUAUAUAGUGUAACUCCCUUUAUGAUUGGUUAGAUAA